GAGGGGGUGCAAGCGUUAUUCGGAAUUACUGGGCGUAAAGGGUGCGUAGACGGCGCAUUAAGUCUGUUGUUAAAUUUUUCGGGCUUAACCGAAAAGCUGCAGUGGAAACUGAUGCACUAGAGGAUGAGAGAGAGAAGUGGAAUUCCCGGAGUAGCGGUAAAAUGCGUGGAUCUCGGGAGGAACACCGAUGGCGAAGGCAGCUUCUUGGCUCAUUUCUGACGUUGAGGCACGAAAGCGUGGGGAGCAAACAGGAUUAGAUACCCUGGUAGUCCACGCUGUAAACGAUAACCACUAGACGUUAAUUUGGCCUUGCUAGAUUAGUGUCGUAGCUUACGCGUUAAGUGGUUCGCCUGGGGACUACGAUCGCAAGAUUA
rnacentral:rRNA from 1 species